AAUACAAAAACUAACACCAAAAUGGAUCAAAAAGGCAGAGGCAGCAGCUAGUGUUCAGUGUAAUUUUACCUCAAGUCGGUUGAUCUACAUUAGAAGGCAGGCACUUAUAAGGCUUGAUAACACAGCUGUGAUUUGUUUCUAAAAUCUUGAGGGGAUGUUCUAUUUGAUCCAAUAUUCCACACAAAAGCAAGAAAACAGGAUGAUGAUAAGUUGUACAACAAAGUUUAUUUCUAAAACCACUUUGAUAAUUCAAUUUACGUCAUUUGCCACACAAGGUAGUUUCGUUGGGGAUAGAAUUUUGUUGUUGUGCUAAUGACGCUACCACUUAAUUGUACCUUGAUUAGAAGUCCAACAAAUGACGACAAUGUGAUAUACAAGAUGAGACGACAUUAACCAAAAAAAAACAUCUACAGCAAUAGUAACAACAAUGCAUUGAGGCGAACAUAACGAUAACAUUAUCUUUAAAUAACGAAGAGCGAAGUGCGAAUUAUAAUAACAUCAAACCAACCAUUUCUCUCAACCCUGGGCAAGCAACCAACCAAACGUAUUCCCAGUGUCCCCUCUCCCACCGUUAUCACUACCCUACGUUAUUCAAAGAAGAGGCGGGGGUCACCCUUGAAAUCAAUUUAAGGCAAAGCUGCUUGUGCACACACGACCAUGCGUACAUUCAUAUAUGAAUACAAAUCUGUUAAAAACAAUUUGAGGGCUUGCUUAACUUAGAAACAUUAAGAUAUACAUACAUACAUAUGUAUGUAUGUAUGUAUAGCCUAGCCCCCUUUCCUUAACAUUUUAC
rnacentral:sRNA from 1 species